rnacentral:misc_RNA from 1 species
GAUGAAGAACGCAGCGAAAUGCGAUACUUGGUGUGAAUUGCAGAAUCCCGUGAACCAUCGAGUCUUUGAACGCAAGUUGCGCCCGAAGCCAUUAGGCCGAGGGCACGCCUGCCUGGGCGUCACACGUCGUUGCCCCCCCAUCUACUCCUUCGGGAUUGCGGGGGGCGGAUGAUGGCCUCCCGUGCGCCUCGCCGCGCGGUUGGCAUAAAUGCCAAGUCCUCGGCGACGCACGCCACGACAAUCGGUGGUUGCGAAACCUCGGUUGCCCGUCGUGGGCGGUCGUCGCGCAUCGAGGGCUCGAAAAAAUUGCCGGGUUCCGGCUCGGCUUUCAACGCGACCCCAGGUCAGGCGGGGUUACCCGCUGAAUUUAAGCAUAUCAAUAAGCGGAGGA